rnacentral:rRNA from 1 species
ACGGGAGGCAGCAGUAGGGAAUCUUCCGCAAUGGACGAAAGUCUGACGGAGCAACGCCGCGUGAGUGAUGAAGGUUUUCGGAUCGUAAAGCUCUGUUGUUAGGGAAGAACAAGUGCCGUUCAAAUAGGGCGGCACCUUGACGGUACCUAACCAGAAAGCCACGGCUAACUACGUGCCAGCAGCCGCGGUAAUACGUAGGUGGCAAGCGUUGUCCGGAAUUAUUGGGCGUAAAGGGCUCGCAGGCGGUUUCUUAAGUCUGAUGUGAAAGCCCCCGGCUCAACCGGGGAGGGUCAUUGGAAACUGGGGAACUUGAGUGCAGAAGAGGAGAGUGGAAUUCCACGUGUAGCGGUGAAAUGCGUAGAGAUGUGGAGGAACACCAGUGGCGAGGCGACUCUCUGGUCUGUAACUGACGCUGAGGAGCGAAAGCGUGGGGAGCGAACAGGAUUAGAUACCCUGGUAGUCCACGCCGUAAACGAUGAGUGCUAAGUGUUAGGGGGUUUCCGCCCCUUAGUGCUGCAGCUAACGCAUAAGCACUCCGCCUGGGGAUACGGUCGCAAGACUGAAACUCAAAGGAAUUGACGGGGGCCCGCACAAGCGGUGGAGCAUGUGGUUUAAUUCGAAGCAACGCGAAGAACCUUACCAGGUCUUGACAUCCUCUGACAAUCCUAGAGAUAGGACGUCCCCUUCGGGGGCAGAGUGACAGGUGGUGCAUGGUUGUCGUCAGCUCGUGUCGUGAGAUGUUGGGUUAAGUCCCGCAACGAGCGCAACCCUUGAUCUUAGUUGCCAGCAUUCAGUUGGGCACUCUAAGGUGACUGCCGGUGACAAACCGGAGGAAGGUGGGGAUGACGUCAAAUCAUCAUGCCCCUUAUGACCUGGGCUACACACGUGCUACAAUGGACAGAACAAAGGGCAGCGAAACCGCGAGGUUAAGCCAAUCCCACAAAUCUGUUCUCAGUUCGGAUCGCAGUCUGCAACUC